rnacentral:rRNA from 1 species
UUUAAUCAAUAAACUUGGAUCAUAGAUUCAAUAAUUUUAGUUAACCAAAAUUAAAAGUUUAAUAAAUUUUAAAGUCACCCCAACUAAAUAUUUAAAUUAAUUAUAUUUAAUAAUACUUAAAAAAUAUAACCAUACCAAUAUUAAACUCUAUAGGGUCUUCUCGUCUUAUAAAAUCAUUUAAGCUUUUUAACUUAAAAAUAAAAUUCCAAUUAAUCUUUAUAAACAUAGAAAUUUUCUCAUCAAACCAUUCAUACAAGUUUCUAAUUAAGAAACUAUUGAUUAUGCUACCUUUGUACAGUCAAAAUACCGCAGCCAUUUAAGUAAUCACUGGGCAGGUCAAACCUUCUAUAAUAAUCUGAAGGCCAUGUUUUUG